rnacentral:tRNA from 1 species
GCCCCCGUAGCCUAGUGGAUAGGCACCGGACUUCUAAUCCGUUUAACGUAGGUUCGAAUCCUGCCGGGGGUA